rnacentral:snRNA from 1 species
AUCGCUUCUCGGCCUUUUGGCUAGUCAAGUGUAGUAUCUGUUCUUAUCAGUUUAAUAUCUGAUACGUCUCCUACCCGGGGACCAUAUAUUAAAUUAUUUUUGGAACAGGGAGAUGGAAUAGGGGCUUGCUCCGUCCACUCCACCGCGACCUGGUAUUGCAGUACCUCCAGGAACGUGCACCCCCCU